GAAAUGCGAUAACUAAUGUGAAUUGCAGAAUUCAGUGAAUCAUCGAGUCUUUGAACGCACAUUGCGCCCUCUGGCAUUCCGGGGGGCAUGCCUGUCCGAGCGUCAUUACGCACCCUCAAGCCCGGCUUGUGUGAUGGGCCCCGGCGUCUCGUUCGCGAGACGGGCCCGAAAGGCAGCGGCGGCGUCGACCCGAUGAGCCCGAGCGUAUGGGGACUUCUGUCACACGUUCGCGGUGCGGACCGGCGCCUGCUUGACUUUUCUGAUUAUCCAGGUUGACCUCGGAUCAGGUAGGGAUACCCGCUGAACUUAAGC
rnacentral:misc_RNA from 1 species